UACUUUUCAUUUUCUUCCUGACACUAAAGUUUCCUGGGUCGGUCAGCUUUUUGUCACCCUCUUUCCCAGUCCCAUCCAUCUUCAUUACCUUCUCUCUCUCUCUUCACUUCACAUUGUCUUUUUUCUAUACCUUUUCUCAAACGGCUUCUAGGCAAAAUUGAAAAUCGCUUCUGCUGAUGAAAAAAGGAGAAAACAGCCGCUUGCUAUCGCUUUUCGUGCUAAUUCUGCCAACUUCCAAACCCUCACGGACUUGGCAAACGUGUUGAAUUUCGUCCCCCGCAUCGGUUGCCCUACUGUUGAGCCUAUAUACUUGCACACUUUGCUUUGGACUUUACUCCUCUUUUUUCUUCUUCCGUUUCUGCAGAUGCUGCGAAGGUCAAUGAACAAGAGUACAAAGCGAAGGUCACUUUGAGUUGUGAAAGAGACCGGGCGAGAGUGCUCCUCACCAGACUUGAUAGCUAACCAACGUGUUGACUCGUCGGUCAAUCCUUUGAACUGGGAAAUGCAGCUGGCUGAAAUGGGAAAGCCUUGAAAAACUUUGUCCAGCAAUGUCCUUUCUCUCCUUCUGAUUUUCAAGGACGGAAAGAGAGAAUCAAAGCAAGAGGUUUUGGAGGUACUAACUCAGUUAAAACGCGUUGAAUUUCGAUCCUCCCUGAUAUUGUGGACUUGGGGGAGUGAGGGUUGCAUUAAGCAAGUUUGGAUGCUCUCGAUCCGCUGUUUUUGUGAG
rnacentral:lncRNA from 1 species